AUACGUAGGGGCCAAGCGUUGUCCGGAGUUACUGGGCGUAAAGCGUGCGCAGGCGGCUCGUUGCGCCCGACGUGAAAGCCCCCGGCUCAACCGGGGAGGGUCGUCGGGGACGGGCGAGCUUGAGGGUGGCAGGGGCUGGUGGAACUCCCGGUGUAGUGGUGAAAUGCGUAGAGAUCGGGAAGAACACCCGUGGCGAAGGCGGCCAGCUGGGCCACACCUGACGCUGAGGCACGAAGGCGUGGGGAGCGAACGGGAUUAGAUACCCCGGUAGUCCACGCAGUAAACGAUGCAGACUAGGCGUGGGGGGACUUGACCCCCUCCGUGCCGGAGCCAACGCGGGAAGUCUGCCGCCUGGGGAGUACGGCCGCAAGGCUAA
rnacentral:rRNA from 1 species